UCUUGAUAGUUCCUUGUGACACAAAGUUUAAUUUUAAUAAAGUCCAAUUUAUUUUUUUUUCUUUUGCUUAUACUUGAGAUAUCAAAUCUAAGAAACCAUUGCCUAAUCUGAUGUCAGAAAAUUUACACUUAAUGUUUUCUUAUAAGAGUUUUAUGGUUUGAGCUCUUACCUUUAUUCCUUUGACCUAUUUUGAGUUAAUUUUUAUAUAUUGCAUGAAGUAGGGGGCAAAUUAAUUCUUUUGCCUGUGAAUAUCCAACUGUCCCCUUACCAUUUGUUGAAAAGACUAUUCCUUCCUCCAUUGAAUGGUCUUGGUACUCUUGUUGAAAACCAAUUGCCCAUAAAUAUAUGGGUGUAUUUCUGGAUUCUUAAUUCCCAUCAGUCUAUAUGUCCUUCCUUAUGCCAGAAUCACAUAGUCUUGAUUGCUGUAACUUUGUUAGUUAAGUUUUAAAAUCAGGAAAUGUAACUCCUCUGACUUGUUUUUCAAAAAAAUUUUGGCUAUUUGGUGUCCCUCACAUUUCCAUACAAAUAUUAGCAUCAGCUUGUCAAUUUCUGCAAGAAAAUGCCGCUGGGAUUUUGACGGUUGUAUAGAAUUUGUAGAUCAGUUUUGGAAUAUUUACAAGUUUUGCAUCACUAUUUUAUGUGUCCAUAUGAUAUAUUGACUGCCUUUAAGUUUUCAUCCUGGAUUGCCUAAGUGCUUGCUGUGGCUUCCUAUAUACCUUUAGUCUACUUUUCUUCCAACCACUUUUUCUUGCUGUUACCUGGAUGUCUUAUCUAAAAGGCUUAAUUAAGAUCCUUUAGUGACUUCUCAGAGCUUUCAGAAUUAAUUCACUCAUUCAAAUGUCUCUAAUCCCUUAAUGUGUCAGAUAUUAUCCCAGGAAUAUAGCAGUGAACAAAAAAAUAAAUGCUCUCGUGGAGCUCAAGUGUGGGGAGAUGUAAUAAGUAAAAUAUAUAUUGUGAUAUAUAAUGAGAAGUGCCAGGGAGAGGGGAAAAGCAGGGAAGGGGACAGGAGAAUGUGCAAUUUUAAAAAGGGUAAUCAAGGAGGGCUUCAUUGAGAUAGUUGAGUACCUAAAGAAGUAAUAGGCUGUGCAUACAUCUGAUGAAAGCUUGCAGGCAUAGCAAAUAGCAACCAUAAAGGCUCUGAGUUGGCAGCAUGUUUGAGGAACAUCAAGGAGGCUAGCAGGCUGGAGAUGAGGGAGUGAGGAGAGUAAUAGGAAGUGAGAUCAAGGGUAACAGGUAGUAGGGUGCCUGGCUGGCUCAGUCAGUAUAGCAUGCAACUCUUGAUCUCGGGGUUGUAAGUUUGAGCCCCAUGUUGGGUGUAGAGAUUACUUAAAAAAUAAAAUCUUAACAGCAAAUUGUGUGUGGUCUUAUGGGCCAUUGUUACUGCUCUGGUUUUUAUAGUGAGGUGGGAAGUCAUUGGAGAGUUUGAGCAGAGAAAUAUCAGUUCUGUACCUGAGAUUUAACAAAAGUGCCUUACCUGAUAGGUUGGGGAAAGACUGUGUAUGUGUGUGUGGGAGGGAUAAGGUGAAAGCAGGAGACGAGUUGUAGUAGCCAGCCUCUAAAACAUCUCCAAUGAUCCCUGCCUCAUGAGAUUCACACCCAUGUGUAAUCCCUUCCACUUGACUGUGGGCUGGACCUAGUGACUUGCUUCUACUGAAUAGAGUAUGGCAAAGUGAUGGGAUAUCAUUUCUGAGAUUGUUAUGGUCUCCAUUUUGCAUGUUCUUUCUUGCUCUCUCACUUGCUCACUGUUGGAAGCUGGCUGCCAUUUUGUGACGUGCCUUUAAAAGAGGCCCACGUGACAAACUGAAGGUGACCUCAGGCCAGUGAGGACCUGAGGCUCUUGGUCCAACAACCCAUAGAGAGCUAAAUAUUGCCAACAACCACAUCAAUUAGCUUGGAAGCUGAUCCUCUCUCAGAUGAGCCUUCAGAUGGGACUACAGUUCUGACUAACAGCUUGACUGUGGCCUUGUGAGAACCCAUGUCAACUCAACUUCAGCCAUGCAGGUGGUGAUAAUGUCCCAGGAUGGCAGAUCAACAGGAUGAAAAAUGUGGAUCCCUGAAUGACUUCAUGGAACAGGGCUAGCUGCUGACUGGAAGUCUCCACAGAUUGUAAUCACAGAAUGUUAUACCUCUUCUCUUUAAGCCUCUUUAUUGUUGUUGGUGGCCGCUCCAGUGGCCUUAUAUAACCACUGUCUGCACUGAGUGUGAAAGACAUUUUCCUAAAGGAAAAACAAUUUUGAAUUGGA